rnacentral:rRNA from 1 species
CCUGACCCCAUGCCGAACUCAGCAGUGAAACGCCGUAGCGCCGAUGGUAGUGUGGGGUCUCCCCAUGUGAGAGUAGGGAACUGCCAGAC